rnacentral:tRNA from 1 species
AGCUCAGUGGUAGAACAUUCGACUGCGGAUCGAGAGGUCUUCGGUUCAAUCCCGGG